UGGGGAUCUCAAGCUGUACAACAAUGGAUCAAAAAUAGAAGGCUCAUCGUGGUUGAUAUAUUUAGAGGCUGAUGUUUUUCUUUUAUAAUUUUAGGAGAGAGAUGUUCCCAGGCACAUUGUGACUCCUCUCUGUGAACUGACACGGGGUGUUUUUAUAGAGGACUCACGGGUGGGGUGACUCUGAAGUCAUUGCCAAAGGAAGAUGACAAUGAUUAUCCUGAAGGUGAGACGAGAAAGAGCUGCUCCACGGUCAAGGUUGUGAACAACAAAGGAACGGUUAUCCUUUUAGGGUCUUCCUCCUCCAGGCUUUUGAGGACAAAGAUGAAUUAUUUUUAAAAAGAAGCCAGUAUGGAGACACCUGGAACAGUGAGAGUGGUUCCACCAGGCUCCUUCUCAGGCAGCACACUCAGCAUCACAGCAUCAGGCCACCAUGGCUUUGAACUACAUCUCACAAGGAGAGUUCUGAGACAUCGGCUCGCCUCCUCUCCCCUCCGCAAGUUCACAGUUCAGGAAACGGAGGCCCCGGUGGAGGAGACAGGCUUACUAAAGCGCACAGAGCGACUGAGAACAUCUGGUCCCAGGCGCCCCCGCUACCCCUUCUUGGCACACCUCGGCUGUAUUUACACAGUGUGCACACCCGCGUGGCCAUGUUUGUGUUUUCCCCGGUCCUGA
rnacentral:lncRNA from 1 species